GCGGAGAGGUGAGCACAGAUAAGAAAAGGGAGACGAAAGAUAUCAAAAAAGAGAAAGAGAACCAAAAGCUCUCAUCUCUCAUUGUUCCAAAGGGCUGCUUCCUCUUUUCACUCAAAUGGCUACCGCCACCGUCAUCCUCUCAAAUGAGCUGGCGGGCCGGUAGUCAUGCUUAGACGUUGACCACCUCUCUCUCCUUUCUCAUCCCAACUCUCACACCAUAGCCUAAAACAGCCCCUCAACUGCGGCAAAAGCAGUUCAAAACGACCACCUUCCACUCCAUUUUUACGGCAGGAACCCAGCUGAAGAACACCAUGUAAACCAGCUGUAAAUCACUCUUAUACCUGCUGAAAAACACCAUCAAAAGCAACUCCAAAAUAACUCCAGCAGUCUAGGUUUAGCUAAGGUCGUUUGAGAUUGCCGUUCAAGUUUCCGGUCAAAGGCGUCCAAGCUAUUUUUAUCGUUCGCCACUCAAGUUUUGUCGGCUUUACUCUACUGUAAAUCUUACUUGGAGUUGUAUACUAGAUCAAGUCAUGGUAAAAUUAGUUGGCUUAAAAGUUUUGUUGUUUGCUUCUGAGAAUGAGAAAUUUUGAUGAUACUAGAAUUUUUGCCAUGGGAUCUACGUUAUUAGGUACUAUGGGAUUUUCUUCCUCUUCCUAUUGAUUAAUUGUUUUAUGGUUUAUUUCCGUAUGCUUUAUCAGGCUAAUAGUUGGGUGUUUUUUUAAUUGUUAUUUAAGUUAUUUUAGUUGGACUUCGUAUGCGUUUUUCUUUUAAUCAUCUUUUUAUGCAUUGUUAUUUUUGUUUAUGUAUGAUUAAUUCCUUAAAAGGUUUCUACUUGGCAAUGCAAGUUGUGUUUUAGACAACUUAUGAACAUCGUAAUUUUCUUUAGACGUGAUUAAUAAUAAAUCAUUGCGAUUAUGGGUACGGUUCUCGUGGCAUGGUCGCGAUGCAUAAAUCCAAAUUCGGAUGUGCAUUUCAUGUGACUUGAUCAUAACUUCGAAUAUUAAUAAAAUUAAACAUAUUGUAGAUCGUGGGUACGGUUCCCGUGAUGCGAUUCACAAUGUGUACCAAACAAACGAGUGUGCAAUAUCGCGACUUGUUUCAACCAAUUCCAUAAAUACUUAAAAGCGGUCUAAAAGGUUAAAAAUGCACGAUAGUUUUAAAGCUUGUUUUAAAUCAGAUAAUUAGGCCAAUUAUUAAUAGUUGACCGACCGUGCUAAAAUCACGGAACGUGAUAAUGCCUAACACCUUCCAUCGGGUUAACAGAAUUUCUUCCCCGGAUUUCUGUGUUUCGCUGACAGUAAAACAGAGUCAAACUUCCUCGAUUCAGGAUUUUAAACCGGUGAUUUGGGACACCACAAAUUAUCCCAAGUGGCGACUCUGAAUUUGAAUAUAAAUAAUUUUAUUUCGAUUAUUGUCACUUUAAUUGGAAAAACUCUCUUAUCCCCUCGGAAAAGGAGGUGUGACAGCUCUGUCGACUCUGCUAGGGACAAGAACCCAGAACUUUUGGUUCAGGGUUCAAAAUUUGAGCUUAGCAUAACUGUUAUAGUUGGCUUUUGUUUAUUAUCUGAUUUUACGUGUUUGAGCCUAAUGUGCUAAAUGCCAUUUUUUACCGCUUUGAUAUUGCUUGAAUUGUAUAAAACUGUUACGAAACUUUUCUUCUCUCCGAGUCUUCUAAAUCAUCUGGAAAGUGCACGCUGGCGUGACUUCUUUUCUAUUAGUGUCAUACCCUAAUUUAGAACGAGGAUCAGAUCAGUUACAAAGCCGGAUGGCCUUUUGGUUACCGGUACGUUGCCUCCCCCCCGACCCCCCGGCUCGAGUUGUCCGCUCAGGUAAGCCAGGUCUAGAACAAUACACCGGGGUUUUAAACCUAGAAUAACAUAGCCUCAUGCCGGAUCCCUAGUAGGAACACUUGUUUGCAUCACGUGCAUUUGGCUUUGGGGACUCAACAUAGGGGUUGGGUCCGUCUAGGACAGCUCUACCAAAUUAAAAGACCAUCCUGAUACAUUUUACGUACUACAUGCAUAUCUGUUUGUUUCGGACUGGCUUAUAGAAUAGGAAAAAAAAAUAAAAAAAAGAGAAAAAAAGAAAAAGAAAAAAAAAAGAGCGAGUAGUAGGUAUUUGAAUUUUUUUGAAACUUUGCCAAAUUUUGAAAAAAAGAGAAAGAGAGUAAGUCAAUGUUUUCAAAAGUCAUGUUUCCUCUGUUCCGUCAAAAUUGGCCGAACUACGCGGAUUUGAUUCUCACCGGAUGUGAGAUACGUAGGCAAACCUCACCGGUUCCGGCCCCAAUUUUUAAAAACCCAAAAAUAUUUUUCUUUACUUCUUUUUUUAGAAAAGUCUUUCUUUGAGACCCCAAUCUUUAAAAAAAAUCCGAAACUAUUUUUUUAAUUUCCUCUAAAAAUCCAAAAAUAUUUUUGAAAUUGAAAAGAAAAUUCAAGAUUAAAAAAAAGUUCUUUUUUGUUUAAAAUUCUUUCUUUCAUAAUUUAACAUAAAAGUUCAAAAGUUCGAAAAUUUUCUUUAUUCUUUAGAAGUUUUUCUUUCGAAAUUCCUAGAGAAAAAAAAGAGAAAAUUCAAAAGAAAAAAAAUAAUCUUUCUUCUUUAUAAGUCUUUCUUUCGGAAAUUAAAAAAAAUCAAAAAAAGAAAAAAAGAAAAAAGAGUUAGUUUAUUUACUUUAUUUCCGAUCUUCCCGAACUACGCAAAGAUCUGAUUCAUACGGCGUCAUGAUACGUAGGCAACCUACAUAGGGUUCGAUCGAAUCGUUUUUUUUAAAUAGAAAAAAAAAAGAAAAAGAAAAAAUAGAUGAAGUUAUGAGAUGUGAGAAAUGAGGGGAAAGAAAAUGAGCAAAUCAAGGAGCACAAGAGAGAAAAUGAAGAAAACAGGGGCAAGGGAAGUAAAAUUGGGAUGAUGCCAAGUUGACUUCGCACCCUCGAAGUCAUUUUAGAACCGAUAAUUGUGAUUAGGUGCAUUGCACAUAAUGUGAGAUUAUCUUAGGUUAAAUGCCCUAAUGCCAAUGUGAUGACUUUAUUUUGUUCCUUUUUGUUAUCUUCAUUGAGCAGAAAGUUGGUUGGUUUGUGGUUCUUAAGUUAACUCAUCCAUAUAACACAAGGCCAAAGAGCAAGGUAGUCAUGGCUAGAAAAGACCUGGACACAUGUGUUGUUGAUCCGUCUAAGAAGAUUGUUGAAUUAGAAUCUGAGUUGAAAGAAGAGUUUAUAAGGUUGAAACGGCAGAUGGCCAAAAUAUACCAAGCCUGGAUUAGUGGGUGUCUUCCACCAUUGUUUCCUACUAACUACACUGAAAGCCUCGUCACCAUUUCGCCACUAUCACAAACCCAGAUUCCUGUUGCUGCUGAUAUCUCCCCACAACCCUUUCACACUCCACUCGCCAAAACUACCUCAUAUCCCGUUCCUCUAACCACUCAUGCUUUUGUAGCUCCUCUACAAGCUACCCUUCCUCGAUCCGCUAGCGAGACCGUGUUCAAAGUCCCCGAUGCCCAAUACUACGCUUCGAAACCAACUUUCAUGGUCUCAGAUCCAUACUCUUACACUCAUCGUUUUGAGCCUCCCGAUGAAACUGAAAAGCCUGCUAAGACAAUGGAGCAAGAUGAGAUAUCCAAGAAGGUGAAAAUCUUAGAGCAGUCUUUAAGAAACAUGCAAGUGAUAAGGAGCAAGGUGAGCGUGUCUUACAAAGACUUGUGCUUGUUUCCUGGCGUCCAAUUGCCUGCUGGGUUUAAGAUGCCAAAGUUUUAUUGUAUGACGGACAUGGCGAUCUUGUGGACCAUUUGAGAGGUUAUUGUAGUAAAAUGAGAGGCUCUGGUGGGAAGGACGAGCUAUUGAUGGCCUAUUUCAGUCAAAGUUUGAGCGGUGCAGCCCUGGAAUGGUACACCCAUCAAGAUGCUUGCAAGUGGUAUACAUGGGACGAUAUGGCUCAGGCCUUUGCCCGGCACUUUAAGUACAAUAUAGAAAUUUUCCAGGAUCACAUGUCCCUCACCAAGGUGUAAAAGAAUCCAAAUGAAAGCUUUAGGGAAUAUGGGCUCAGAUGGAGAGAGAAAGCUGCCCGAGUCAAUCCCCCAAUGAAAGAAGACGAGAUGGUCGAGUACUUUCUUCAAGACCAAGAGCCUAGUUACUUUGGGCAUUUGAUCUCGACUAUGGGUAAGCCUUUUAAUGAUGUGGUAAAAAUGGAGAAAUGGUAGAAGAUGGGGUAAAGUCGAGCAAGGUCAUAAGCUAUUCUGCUUUAAAAGCCACAACACAAGAAAUUCAGAACGACACAGGAAGCUUGUUGGGUUAGAGGGAACAUGAUGAUGUUGCCAUGGUUGUCUUAGGAUCACGACAUGGCCCAACAGGUCCGCCUCACCAAUAUACCCAGCCUCGACCCCAACCCCAAACCUAUCCCCGAGCUUCACAUAAUCCACCUCAGUAUUAUCCUUUGAACAACGUUCGGUCAACUGUCCAACCACUGGUUCACUCUUUAUGGCAAGCGCCAGCACCGCAUAAUGCACUUUUGCCUUCACAACAUUUUAGAGCAUCCAACAACCCUAUAAAACUGGGUUAUGAGGGGGAAGAACAAAGGCAAAUAAAUAGUUUCAUGCCAAUUGGAGAAUCCUACACAAGUUUGUUUGAAAAAUUAAAACAUUCUGGCCUGAUUGAGCCGCUCCUCGGCUAUACUUCGGACCCAUAUACAAAAGGGUUUGAUCCUACUUUACGGUGCAUGAACCACUCUGAUGUCCAAGGGUAUAGCAUUAAAUAUUGUCGUGCUUUGAAAAGGGAAAUAUAAAGAAUGAUUCAAGAAGGGAUUAUUGUGAUCCAGGACAGUGACAACCAGAAUAUCACGCAGAAUCCUUUACCUGCACAUGAUGAUGCACACUUUGUGGGGAUGAUGUGUGGUGAAAGGGGGUAUGAGAAUCCUCUUGGGAACUUUCUAACUAAAGUUAAUGAUAUUGAAAUUGGUAAUGGUCUUGGUAAUAUUGAUAUGGAACUCAGAGGCUAAGAUGUCGAGCUUGGUAAUUGAAAAGACGCUCCUUUUUUGGUUAGCCAAGGGGAAUUUUGGUGGUUUAUUUUAUUGUCAUUUCUGUUGUCUGGGUUAUUUCAGGGUUGUAAUCCGGAUAUUGUCUUGUGACUCAAACCCUUAUUAUCCUUUUAUUUUGCCUAGUUUCUUUAGUCGUAGUAGCUCGUUUAGUGUUGUCUAGUUUUGUUCCAGGGUUGUAAACCCAGUUUAUUUUACUUGUUUUGUUGUUCAAACCCUUUCACCGUUUGUAUAAUGCAAUUUCCUAUUUUCUGUUAUUUCUAGUUAGUUUUUGUUUAGUUCCCUUUUCCUUUUAUGGUUAUUUUCACGUUGGCUCUAAUGACAUGACAUGCAUGCAUAAUUCUAGGUCUGGUCUUAAAAGUUAGUCUAAUUAUGAAGCAAUAAAAUAAUUUCGAAGAUAAUAGGGACAUUUGAGGGAAAUACAUAUAGAUUUGGACACUUUGGGAUCAUUUAAAGUCCGAACUGUGUGAAACUGGGGAAAAUAGUCUGGGAAGUUCAUAGGACGACAAGAAUUUGUUAAAGGAGAGUGCAUCUUGGACAAUUUGAAGCGAGCAACUUUGAGUUCAAGUGCAUCUCAAGUUACGAGAUAAUGCCAAGGGAAUUUACUUCAAACAGACGGAGGGUAUCCAUUGUGAAGAAGAAAUCACCCAACUAGAGUUUUGUACUUGACAAGGCACUAAACAAAGUGGAAGGCAUAUCAAUGAUAUCAAUGCCGAAGCUGCAAAAGAAGAUAAAUCUUAGGCAUUUUCAGGGAUUAGGAGGCCCACUUUCAGCUACCCAAAUACUUUAUACCAUUCGGUAUCCCUUUUGAGCCUUAUUUAUUUUCUUUCAUAUCCCUCUUUUGGAAUCGGAAGUAGAGUUUGGAAAUAAAAAAGAAAAAAAUUUAAAAAAAAAAGAGAAAAGAGAAAAAUGAAAAAAAGAAGAAGAAGUAAAGCAAAAGAAGAAAAAGAAAGCAAAAGAAAAGUAACAAAAACAAAGCAACUCUUAUCUCUUGAACUACGUUCGACCUGAUUCUUGUCACCACAAGAUACCUAGGUAGCCUUACGGUUCGGUCGUACUAAAUAAAAUAUUUCAUAAUCCCACGAAGUUAAGAGUGGGGCAGUUUUUCUUAGUAAUUCCAUCUAAAAAAAGAGAAAAAAAGAAGAAAAGAAUCAAAUUCUCUUGUUCUAGAAAUUGGGGCAAAGUUUUUAAUGGAUUCCAAAAGUUAUAAAUAAAUUAACCCUUUUGUCUUAGUUUUAAUUUGAGCCUUCAUGCCUUUUUUUCUUUAUAACCUUGUCCAAAAGCCACAUUACAUUCCAAAAAAACCUCCUAGAUAAUCUUUGAGAGUGCCGAGCUAGACAUGGUAGGAGCAUAUGAUGUUUUUUACCAUGGUCAACACCUUAUCAUCUGUAGAAAUAGAGUAUAUAAGAAGAAAAGAACAAGAUGAGAGAGUCUUAUUUGUGAAAACCUUCACAGGCACCAUAAGGUGACGGUGAGUUGAGAGAAAGAAAAAAUGAGAGAGUCUUGAUGGUGAAAACCUUUCGGCCACUACAAGUCGAAUAAGGAUCGUGAAUCAAAUAGGAUAAUUGAAGAAUUGAAGCCCAGUUUCAUGGUUUAGCGGCAUAACAAGAGUUGAAAAUUAGACUUGCUUGACAGAUUAGACCACUUAAUCCAAAAUGCACGUCAUGGUUAUUGGAGUUGGUGUCCACAUCUGAUAAGUUUUCUUUUGAUAAUUUUCUUAUUAGAUGUCAUCUAUUUCCAUUGUCCCCUUACUAUGUUCCUCUUGCUUUGUUCAAGUCCCCUUUUGAGUCCGUUUGGUUAGAACAAGUGAUAAAUGACUUCAAAAUUUGCUACCAACUUUCCAAUUGCACAAAGCAGAGGCUAGCACAUAAAAACGGCAUAAGUCAGGAAAGAACAGUAUGCGCACUGAGUUGGUAACAACGUGCUUUGGAAUUUAUGUGAAAUGUAAAGGUUCGGUAAAUGGCAAUUCAUGAGCAAAGUGCAACAAGUAGAGGAUACUGGGCUCUAAUGGAUCGGAAGUGUUUUAUGUGAUAAGGGUUGACAAAAAAAACAAUUAGUCAAUAACAUGAAAGGUCUUCCAAGUUGAAAUCAAAGUUAUCAUGGCAAGUGUAGAAGCAGUCACCUUCAAGGUCAAGGCCACAAACUAACCACCGUGUUUUAAACUCACAAGUUUUCUUUUUCUGAAAUGGGGAUGAAAGCUAUGUUCAUAUGAAAGCUUGGAAGCUUGACUUUUUCAAGUGUAAUGCCCCAAUUCUACUUACGCAAAGGCUAUUGAGAAGAUUCCACAUUACCCCUAGGAGACGCACUUCCUAGUCUGGGUUUUUUAGGUUAUAUUUUAAUUUUAGGAGACAUACUUUCUAAAUUGAGAUUUUACCCAUAGGAAACGCACUUCCUAGCUUGGGUUUUUCAGGAUAUACUUUUAGGAGACGCACUUCCUAAAUUGAGAUUUUACCCCUAGGAGACGCACUUCUNNNNNNNNNNNNNNNNNNNNNNNNNUAGUUUGGGUCAUUUAAGUUCAUUCCUAGGAGAUGCACUUCCUAGUUUGAGUCAUUGAAAUUUCACCCCUAGGAGACGCAUUUCCUAUUCUGGGUCUUUCAAGUUAUAUUUUUGUUUUAGGAGACGCACUUUCUAAAUUGAGAUUUCUUCCUGGAUGCACUUCCUAGUAUAGGUCUUUCAGGUUAUAUUUUUUGUUUUAGGAGACGCACUUUCUAUAUUGAGAUUUUACCCCUAGGAGACACACUUCCUAGUUUGGGUCAUUUAAGUUCAUUUCUAUGAGACAUACUUCCUAGUUUGAGUCAUUGAAGUUUCGCCCCUAGGAGACGCACUUCCUACUCUGGGUUUUUUAGGAUAUACUUUUAGGAGACACACUUCCUAAAUUGAGAUUUCAGCCCUAGGAGACGCACUUCCUAGUUUCGGUCAUUUAAGUUCAGCCCUAAGAGACGCACUUCCUAGUUUGGUCCAUUCAAGUUUCACCCGUAUUAGUCGCACUUCCUAAUCAAGGUCUUUCAAGUUAUUAUUUUAGUAGAUGUACUUCCUAAAUUGAGAUUUCACCUCUAGGAGACGCACUUCCUAGUUUGAGUCUUUGAAGUUCCACCCCUAGGAGACACACUUCCUAGUCUAGGUCUUUCAAGUUAUAUUUUUGUUUUAGGAGACACACUUCCUAAAUUGAGAUUUCACUCCUAGGAGACGCACUUUCUAGUUUUGGUUGUUUAAGUUUAUCUAGGAGACGCACUUCCUAGUUUGAGUCACUCUUGUUAUUUUUUUAGGAGACACACUUCCUAGUAAAAGUUUAUUAGUUUUACUCUUAGAAAACACCAUUUCUAGUAUAAAUUUGUCAGUUUUAAUCAUAGGAGAUGCACAUCCUAGUCGAGUGUUUAGUUUACUCUUAUCAUUGCAUCAAUAACAUAAGUGGUUUACAGUUUUGCUAACAACUCACAAAUCUUCCGAGUGCAAACUGGGGCAGUAAAUUUUGUUUGUUUUGUUGUUUUGAUUGCAGGCACCCACCUGGAGAACGAGGAAAUUUGUUCUGGAAUUAUUUCAAGUUUCAAGUCAGUAGCAAGUGUCCACUUGGAGAAUGAGGGAAGUCAUUUCAGAAUUCAAUCCAAGUUAGAAGUAGUAGAAGCUCGCGACAAGAAUGCGAGUCGACAGUCCGAGAUGACCAAUAGAAGUAGUCUCAAUCCAGAAUAAAAAAAAAGUGAAUCCAAAAUGCAGAAGCAGAGAAAGAUGUGAACUGCUCAAGACAUGGCUGAAGUCAAGAGCAUGGCGUGUCCGAUUUUAAUCCGAAGAAGCUGUGAAAGAGUGAAUCAGCAUCUGCAGCUAGCAAGCAUCAAGGUUCAAAUCAAAGUCUGUAUGAAGAACCGUUCAAGACUCAAGAUCAAGCUUCAGAAGACUUAUAGAUAGGAAUAUUAUAACUCAUAGCUGACAGACUUAGUUAGUUUUUUUCAUUUUUGAUGUAAUAAUUGGACCGCAGACCGAAACCUCGACGGAACGGAACCUCACUCGACUCUCUUAUCCUUUCCACAUACUCUAUCACCUCAUUCACUUCUGAACUACACGUGGCCUAAUUCCGUUAUAGCCAAGGACAUGUAGGCAGCUCAGUUACCAGGGCUCGGUCACAUUCUUUUUUCUUUUAGUGUUUGGUCUCUCUAAAUAAGGGUCGGGUCAAAAAAUCUGUCUUGUUAUUCUUUGUCUGGAAACUCUUCGUAUUUUCUGUCAAAGAGGAACAUCUAUAGACAUGUAAAUUUUGAACCACCCCGAGAUUUUACACAUUACCUUUCAUAAAAUUAAAGAAUACAAAAAUAGCCUGAAUAUUUUAUUUUCUAAAAAAAGGAUAAGAAAAAAAAAUUAAAGAAAAAAAAACAAACAAAGAAAGUGAUGAAACAAAACAAGAAAACAACGAAAAAAUGAAAAAAAAAGUAACGAAACAGAAAGGAAGAAACGUUAGGGACAAAAGCAAAAUUACAAGAAAAGAAACAUUAUUCUUUAUAUUUUAUUGCUCAUCUUACCUUUGCUGCAUGUGGACUAUAUUUGUGUAUUUGUGGGAAUAUUCUCAUAACAAACUAGAGGGGUCCACUUGCCCACACACAUAGCUGUCAUAUUGGAUUGUUUAAUUGAUCGGGGAAUAAUUUUCCUUUGGCCUUAUAGAAUAACCUUUCUUGCUCUCCAAUUCAGACCCCCAAAAAUACUCCUAUUCAGCUAUAUAAUACACGACAGAAGAGGGAAAAGACGGAGAGGUGAGCACAGAUAAGAAAAGGGAAACGGAAGAUAUCAAAAAAGAGAAAGAGAACCAAAAGCUCUCAUCUCUCCUUGUUCCGAAGGGCUGCUUCCUCUUUUUACUCAAAUGGCUGCCGCCACCGUCAUCCUCUCAGGUGAGCUGGCGGGCCGGUAGCCAUGCUUAGACGUUGACCACCUCUCUCCUUUCUCAUCCCAACUCUCACACCAUAGCCUAAAACAGCCCCUCAACUGCGGCAAAAGCAGUUCAAAACGACCACCUUCCACUCCAUUUUUACGGCAGGAACCCAGCUGAAGAACACCAUGUAAACUAGCUGUAAAUCACUCUUAUACCUGCUGAAAAACACCAUGAAAAGCAAUUCCAAAAUAACUCCAGCAGUCGAGGUUUAGCUAAGGUCGUUCGAGAUUGCCGUUCGAGUUUCCGGUCAAAGGCAUCCAAGCUAUUUUUAUCGUUCGCCACUCAAGUUUGUCAGAUUUACUCUACUGUAAAUCUCACUUGGAGUUGUCUACUAGAUCAAGUCAUGAGAAAUUUUGAUGAUACUGGAAUUUCUGCUAUGGAAUCUACGCUAUCAGGUACUAUGGGAUUUUUUUCCUCUUCCUAUUGAUUAAUUAUUUUAUGGUUUAUUUCCGUC
rnacentral:lncRNA from 1 species